AUUUGUUUCCGGUCUCCCUUAGGUCUGUUAAUUCCCAGGUUCCAAACCUCCUAGGGUUAAUGGUCAUUUCCUGCUGACUCCUCUGAAUCCCGCUGUUUCCAUGGAUCUUGUCCGUCUGUAGCUGGAUGCCUCUUGACUAUUCUUCUCCAGUUUGGGCUUCCAGGUCAUGCCCAUUGAAAUAUGUAAGAAACCAACUACUGCAUGAACUGUGGUGGUUUUAA